rnacentral:lncRNA from 1 species
AAUUAAGCCAAACCAGUGAAUCGGAGAGCCAGGCGGUGGCACCGCCCAGCACCCGAGAGCUGGGCGGUGACACCUCCUGGGCUGGGCGGUUGCACCGUCCAGCACCCGAGCGCUGGGCGGUGGCACCGCCAGCAUCGGGAACAUAAGAGAAUUCAAAUUUUUUGGAGCCCAAAUUUGAAUCCUCUUGAGGCCUAUAAAUACCCC